rnacentral:sRNA from 1 species
GUUUUUUAAGACACUAGCUCUCCAGCAGAAAGCUGGGGAUAGACUUCAGUUUCUCUACAAUAAUUGGAGUUGGUGUUGGAGCUGGAGCCUACAUCCUGGCGAGAUAUGCUCUUAACCACCCGGACACUGUUGAAGGUCUUGUCCUCAUCAACAUUGAUCCCAAUGCCAAGGGUUGGAUGGAUUGGGCAGCCCACAAGGUUUGGAGGGGCCUGUGUGCUGAGACCUAGGGUUGGGGAUCCCCUCGUAUGGAUCCAGUUAGGCUCUGGUAGAUAGCCUAACUGGAUGGACUCUGAACUUCAAGGUGGGAAUAAAGGGGCAGGAAAGUGAAGCUGUCACUUUGCCUGAGUCUCUUAUAAUAUCCUGAACUUUCUUUUUUUCUUUUUUCUUUUUUUUUUUUUUUUGAGAUGGUGUCUCACUCUGUUGCCAAGGCUGGAGUGCAGUGGCUUGAUCUUGGCUCACUGCAACCUCUGCCUCCCGGGUUCAAGUGAUUCUCCUGCCUCAGCCUCCCAAGUAGCUGGGAUUACAGGCACCCGCCACCACGCCUGGCUAAUAUUUGUAUUAUUAGUAGAGAUGGGG